rnacentral:rRNA from 1 species
CCAGACUCCUACGGGAGGCAGCAGUGGGGGAUAUUGCACAAUGGGGGAAACCCUGAUGCAGCGACGCCGCGUGGGUGAAGAAGCGCCUCGGCGCGUAAAGCCCUGUCAGCAGGGAAGAAAAUGACGGUACCUGAAGAAGAAGCCCCGGCUAACUACGUGCCAGCAGCCGCGGUAAUACGUAGGGGGCGAGCGUUGUCCGGAAUGACUGGGCGUAAAGGGAGUGUAGGCGGCUCUUUAAGUUAUAUGUGAAAUCCCGCGGCUUAACCGUGGAAGUGCAUAUAAAACUGGGGAGCUGGAGUGCAGGAGAGGUGAGUGGAAUUCCUAGUGUAGCGGUGGAAUGCGUAGAUAUUAGGAAGAACACCGGUGGCGAAGGCGGCUCACUGGACUGUAACUGACGCUGAGGCUCGAAAGCGUGGGGAGCAAACAGGAUUAGAUACCCUCGUAC